AACUUUUGACAACGGAUCUCUUGGCUCUCGCAUCAAUGAAGAACACAGCGAAAUGUGAUGAGUAAUGUGAAUUGCAGAAUCCAGUGAAUCAUCGAAUCUUUGAACGCAUCUUGCGCUCCUUGGCAUUCCAAGGAGCAUGCCUGUUUGAGUGUCAUUAAACUAUCAAAACACUUUUUCUCGAGGUGUUUUGGACUUUGGGAGCACUGUGCUGGUCUCUGUUUGAGCCAGCUCUCCUCAAAAGCAUUAACUUUGAGACCAUCAGUGUGAUAAUUUGUUUGCACUGGCUUCUCUUUUUUAACUGCCCCUUUGACCUCAAAUCAGGUAGGACUACCUGCUGAACUUAAGCAUAUCAAUAAGCGGAGGCU
rnacentral:misc_RNA from 1 species